AGAGUUUGAUCAUGGCUCAGAUUGAACGCUGGCGGCAGGCCUAACACAUGCAAGUCGAACGGUAACAGGAAGCAGCUUGCUGCUUUGCUGACGAGUGGCGGACGGGUGAGUAAUGUCUGGGAAACUGCCUGAUGGAGGGGGAUAACUACUGGAAACGGUAGCUAAUACCGCAUAACGUCGCAAGACCAAAGAGGGGGACCUUAGGGCCUCUUGCCAUCGGAUGUGCCCAGAUGGGAUUAGCUAGUAGGUGGGGUAAAGGCUCACCUAGGCGACGAUCCCUAGCUGGUCUGAGAGGAUGACCAGCCACACUGGAACUGAGACACGGUCCAGACUCCUACGGGAGGCAGCAGUGGGGAAUAUUGCACAAUGGGCGCAAGCCUGAUGCAGCCAUGCCGCGUGUAUGAAGAAGGCCUUCGGGUUGUAAAGUACUUUCAGCGGGGAGGAAGGGAGUAAAGUUAAUACCUUUGCUCAUUGACGUUACCCGCAGAAGAAGCACCGGAUAACUCCGUGCCAGCAGCCGCGGUAAUACGGAGGGUGCAAGCGUUAAUCGGAAUUACUGGGCGUAAAGCGCACGCAGGCGGUUUGUUAAGUCAGAUGUGAAAUCCCCGGGCUCAACCUGGGAACUGCAUCUGAUACUGGCAAGCUUGAGUCUCGUAGAGGGGGGUAGAAUUCCAGGUGUAGCGGUGAAAUGCGUAGAGAUCUGGAGGAAUACCGGUGGCGAAGGCGGCCCCCUGGACGAAGACUGACGCUCAGGUGCGAAAGCGUGGGGAGCAAACAGGAUUAGAUACCCUGGUAGUCCACGCCGUAAACGAUGUCGACUUGGAGGUUGUGCCCUUGAGGCGUGGCUUCCGGAGCUAACGCGUUAAGUCGACCGCCUGGGGAGUACGGCCGCAAGGUUAAAACUCAAAUGAAUUGACGGGGGCCCGCACAAGCGGUGGAGCAUGUGGUUUAAUUCGAUGCAACGCGAAGAACCUUACCUGGUCUUGACAUCCACGGAAGUUUUCAGAGAUGAGAAUGUGCCUUCGGGAACCGUGAGACAGGUGCUGCAUGGCUGUCGUCAGCUCGUGUUGUGAAAUGUUGGGUUAAGUCCCGCAACGAGCGCAACCCUUAUCCUUUGUUGCCAGCGGUCCGGCCGGGAACUCAAAGGAGACUGCCAGUGAUAAACUGGAGGAAGGUGGGGAUGACGUCAAGUCA
rnacentral:rRNA from 1 species